AUGCGAUACGCAUUGUGAAUUGCAGAUUUCAGUGAACCAUCAGAUUUCUGAACGCAUAUGGCGCUGCUGGGAUUUCCCAGCAGCACGUCUGUUUCAGUGUCUUC
rnacentral:rRNA from 2 species